GCUGGUCGCUUUUUUCCGCUGCUGCUGGUUGGAUCGUUUCAAUAAAAGUCUUUUUUCUCCGCUCGCUCGCUCUCCUCCGGGGAACAGGCGGAGGCGUCAAUCCGCAGCCGCCGAGUGAGAGAGCGACGCACACGCAGCGAACGAAAGCGGCCGCCCGCGGUCUCCUGAGCUCCUCACGGUCCGGCAGCAGAGAAGAAGGAGCCCUCGUCCGAGCGGGCCGCCUCAGCCGGGCGUCGGCACCUCCCUGCCAGCCUCGCUCCCGCCCGGGCUCCUCCGAGGGGAUUAGUGGGCUGCCCUCGCGGCUCGGCGGCCCGGGAGCCAUGUUGUCCGGGGGGCUUGGCAACGUGUGAGGAACCCGCGGCCCCUCCCGAAGGCUCCGGACCCUAGGCGAGAGCCGGAAGGCGGCAGCGGAGGCCUGCGCCUCGGAGGCGCCUUGGGUCUGCCAGCCGCUGGGACCCGGACCUGCAUCCGGUCGCCGCGGGCGUCGGCGGAGCCGCUUACCCUCCGCGCCUCGCCUAGCGACGCGGCCCCCGCACUUGCUGGAUUUUUCAAGUCACAUUCAGUUGAUAGGAUGAAAAAAUUUAAGAGAAGGCUAUCCCUCACUCUUCGGGGAAGCCAAACUAUUGAUGAAUCAUUGUCUGAAUUGGCGGAACAAAUGACUAUUGAAGAAAAUAGCAGCAAGGAUAAUGAGCCUAUUGUGAAGAAUGGCAGGCCUCCAACCUCUCACAGUAUGCAUUCCUUCCUCCAUCAGUACACAGGGUCCUUCAAGAAGCCCCCAUUGCGGAGACCACAUAGCGUUAUUGGAGGAAGCCUUGGAUCCUUCAUGGCAAUGCCCAGAAAUGGAAGCAGAUUAGAUAUUGUUCAUGAAAAUCUAAAAAUGGGAUCAGAUGGUGAGAGUGACCAAGCUUCUGGGACAUCAUCUGAUGAAGUACAGUCACCUACAGGCGUUUGUCUUAGAAAUCGUAUACAUAGACGGAUCUCAAUGGAGGAUUUAAAUAAGCGGUUAUCACUGCCUGCAGAUAUCAGAAUACCUGAUGGAUAUCUUGAAAAAUUGCAGAUAAACAGUCCACCGUUUGAUCAACCAAUGAGCCGAAGGUCUCGUAGAGCUUCUUUAUCAGAAAUUGGGUUUGGAAAAAUGGAAACCUAUAUCAAAUUGGAAAAGCUUGGAGAGGGUACAUAUGCGACAGUAUAUAAAGGAAGAAGUAAAUUGACAGAGAAUUUGGUGGCAUUAAAAGAGAUCCGGUUGGAACAUGAAGAAGGUGCACCCUGCACAGCAAUAAGAGAAGUUUCACUAUUAAAGGAUCUAAAACAUGCAAAUAUAGUAACCUUACAUGAUAUUGUUCAUACAGAUAAAUCUUUGACUCUGGUUUUUGAGUAUCUGGAUAAAGACCUAAAACAGUACAUGGAUGACUGUGGAAACAUCAUGAGUAUGCACAAUGUAAAGCUGUUUUUGUACCAAAUUCUACGUGGUUUGGCAUAUUGCCACAGAAGAAAGGUAUUGCACCGAGACUUGAAACCACAGAACCUACUCAUUAAUGAAAAAGGAGAAUUAAAGCUAGCAGAUUUUGGGCUAGCCAGAGCCAAGUCAGUUCCCACGAAGACCUACUCCAAUGAAGUCGUCACUCUGUGGUACCGGCCACCUGAUGUGCUUCUCGGUUCUUCAGAGUACUCAACACAGAUUGACAUGUGGGGUGUUGGUUGCAUUUUCUUUGAAAUGGCUUCUGGAAGACCUCUGUUUCCAGGAUCAACUGUGGAAGAUGAACUGCACUUGAUUUUCCGACUGCUAGGAACACCAUCUCAGGAAACUUGGCCAGGUGUUUCUUCAAAUGAUGAGUUCAAGAACUACAACUUUCCAAAAUACAAACCACAGCCUCUCAUUAACCAUGCACCCAGGUUAGACUCUGAGGGAAUUGAGUUAAUAACAAAGUUUCUUCAGUACGAAUCUAAGAAAAGGGUUUCAGCAGAAGAGGCCAUGAAACAUGUAUACUUUCGAAGUCUGGGACCAAGAAUACAUACUUUACCUGAAAGUGUAUCAAUAUUCAGUUUGAAAGAGAUUCAGUUGCAAAAGGACCCGGGUUUUCGAAACUCUUCUUAUCCAGAGACAGCACCACCAUUCAGAUCCUGAAAACUUUGCAAUGAAGAGAAUUGAAACUCAGAAAUUUUGAACCUUGAACACUUAGAAUUCAUCUUAAACUGACAUGGUUUUAAAGAAUUGGCACCAGCAGCUUCGUUAAUUAUCGAGAAUAUCUGGCAUAAACCUAAGUUGAAAGGUCUGCUCUGUUCAGCGGAAAGGAGACAAACAUCCAAAGGUUCUCAAACUGUGAAGCUGCUGAAAGGUAAACUAAUUUAUACCAUCUUGAGUCUUUGGUUCCACAGCAUUUCCUACACGUGGAAUGACCUAUGAGGUGACUAGGAUAAAUACAUGUUUUGGAUAAGGUUCCCACUUCUAAUCCAAGGCAGUUUCACAAAUAUGCCGGGCCAUCUGGUCUGGCGAUUAAGACUUAAUGGUUCAGCAUGGGCUCUGCCAGGGUUCCAACCUCAGAACCACUACUUAACUACCUAUGCCUCCGUUUCCAAAUCUAUAAAAUGGGGAGGAAAAACUGCCUACCUUAUAGGAUUGCUGGAAGAUGAAAUAAGAUGAUUUCUGUAGAGCUCUUAAUAUGUGCCUGGCACACAGCAAAUGCUCAAGAAGUGUUAGUCACAAGUGUACCCGAUAUACUUAUUCAGUGAAUUUCAUCUGUUCAUGGGAGUAAUUCUCAAUGCAUGUAUAAAAGUACUCCGUGUUCUGAAACCAAUCAAGUCCGCCAGUACCUUCAAGGCUCCUCUUAGUCAUAUUAGGCUCAAGUCCACAAACUCAGGUCAUCUGAGAACUAACAUAUUUGGACGUUACUCUGGAACCAAAUUCCAGCCACAGUAUGCAAGUUAACGUUCAAAAACCAGUGUGUUCAGGGCCUCCUAGUUUACCUACCAAUGAAGGUCCCAAAGCUCUUAAACAAAAAGUCUUCUAGUCUACAAAACCUAUCUUUCUCUUAUUUGUGGCCAUAAAUAUACACCCACUCCGUUUUAAUCCUUUGAGCAAUACAUGGAAGUGUAGAAGUUUUAUUUUAGUCUAAAAUGUGCACCCAGGUCUGAAUGUGAGAUGUUUGCACAUCUGUUUCAAAGGGAUACAGGACAUACUCAGAAUACAGUAGUCUUCUGUUUCACAUGUUUAAUCAUUUGGAAUAUCUUUUAUAACAUAUGCAAAUAAAUAUUGUGAAAUGACUUCAUUCGCUCUUCUCUCCCCCAUCCCUGUUCUCCCUGAAGAUCCUAUGGCUGUAAAGAAAAAACCGUUUGGUUGCUCUUUGAAGGAAUGUUCCUAUUAAUGCUCACCCUGGGUAAUCUCCAGUACAGUGUGAGUUUUCAGAGCCUCUUUCCACAAUCUCCUGGAGUCAGGCAAGGUGGGCUG